rnacentral:rRNA from 1 species
CCUACGGGUGGCAGCAGUAGGGAAUUUUCGGCAAUGGGGGGAACCCUGACCGAGCAACGCCGCGUGAACGAAGAAGUUAUUCGUAAUGUAAAGUUCUUUUAACAGGGAAGAAAGUGACGGUACCUUAGGAAUAAGCCUCGGCUAACUACGUGCCAGCAGCCGCGGUAAUACGUAGGAGGCAAGCGUUAUCCGGAAUGACUGGGCGUAAAGGGUGCGUAGGUGGUUUGACAAGUUGGUAGCGUAACUACGGGGCUCAACCUCGGCACUACUACCAAAACUGUCGGACUUGAGUGCAGGAGGGGCAAAUGGAAUUCCUAGUGUAGCGGUGGAAUGCGUAGAUAUUAGGAGGAACACCAGUGGCGAAGGCGAUUUGCUGGACUGUAACUGACACUGAGGCACGAAAGCGUGGGGAGCAAACAGGAUUAGAUACCCGAGUAGUC